rnacentral:lncRNA from 1 species
UUAAUGUACUUUAACUGUUUUGUGUCCAAAGAAUUCAGAGCUGCAGGAGGAGUUGAGAUGUGCUCAUAACUCUCUCAAGCAACAUCAAGAGACUAUUGUGGAGCUAAAAGGAAGUAUUUCAGAGAAAGAAAGUCAACUCCUAAUAGUGCAAGAGGCAUUGAGGAAAACAACUGAUGAACUGAAGCAGCAGCUCACAGAAAUAACUGAAAACCUGACUCGUGUCUCUUCUGAAUAUGACAAGCUACUGGCAGAAAAAGAGCAAAUUGAACAAACAAUGAAUGAGCAUAUUUGUCAGCAGCUUGGGGAAAUCACUUUACUUAAUCAAGAGAGAGAUGAGCUUCAGCAAAUGGUAGAGAGCUUUAAAGUAGAAAAAGAUCAGUUAGAGGCCAACUUUCGUGAAAGCAAAGAGAGAUCCAUGCGAACUCUGACAGAAAUGGAAAACCUGCAGGAAGAACUAAAGCAUCAGAAAGAGCAAACUGAUCUCCAGAAGAACAUGCUAGCAGAAAGAGAAGAAAAACUGCAAAACACUGAAGAAAAACUAACUAAAGAAAUAGAUGAGCUGAAAGAAAAGGCAAGUACAGUAAAACAACUACUCUUAGAACUAACUUAGG